rnacentral:rRNA from 1 species
GACGAACGCUGGCGGCGUGCUUAGCACAUGCAAGUCGAACGGGAUCCGGGCUUUCGGGUUUGGUGAGAGUGGCGAACGGGUGAGUAACACGUGAGUAACCUGCCCCCUUCUUUGGGAUAACGUCGGGAAAUCGGCGCUAAUACUGGAUAUUCUUGCUGCAUCGCAUGGUGUGGUUUGGAAAGGGUUUCUGGUGGGGGAUGGGCUCGCGGCCUAUCAGCUUGUUGGGGGGGUGAUGGCCUAUCAAGGCUUUGACGGGUAGCCGGCCUGGGAGGGGGUCCGGCCGCACUGGGACUGGGACACGGCCCCGACUCCUACGGGAGGCAGCAGUGGGGAAUAUUGCACCAUGGGCGCAAGCCUGAUGCAGCGACGCCGCGUGAGGGAUGACGGCCUUCGGGUUGUAAACCUCUUUCAGUAUGGAACAAGGAUCCUUCUUUUGGGGGGUUUGAGGGUACGUGCAGAAGAAGCGCCGGCUAACUACGUG